CAUUGGGUGGUGGUAACUCAUGAGCUAACUGGACAAUGGGUUAAAAUACUUCAUUAAGUACUAACUUCUGUUGAACAUUGUUUUGCUACAAUCUUUAAGUGGAAUUAUAGUACAUUAAUGUUGGCUUUUCUGUGCUAGAUACUUAAUUUGAGAUGAUGCUUCCAUUUGGAUUACUCCAAAAUAGAAUUAAUAACAAAAUUUAAUUAAUCUGUUUUAUCAAAUUACUUCCUUUUUAAAAGUAUCUAGCAUUUUCAACCAUGAAUAUACACAAUUCUUAUUGUAGCAAAACUCUCUUUUGAUAUGCAGCUGAUCUUUUAGAAUAAAGACUAACUUUAGAUGCUGGUUUCAAACACUGUGGUGGUGUAAGCAUUUCUGUCCAAGGAGAUUUGAGUUUUGUAUGAUAAUACAAAUACAGGUUUCAUAGGAUGUUACUGAAUAGGAAGAGGAGAUUAUUCUGUUAUUUCUCUAGUUUCCCAUGAUGCACCUUUUAUGUUAAUUUAAAAGAUUUAAGUCAUCUUAAAACAGUAAAUUUCUUCUAGAAUCAAUUUCAACAGUGAUUUGGACAUACAGCACGUUCUUGAGUAACUUCAUUUCAUUCAGUGCUGUUUUGCUGUAACAUUGAAGAAAUACCAUAGGGACCUAACUCCUGUUGAUAUCAGUUAGCUAUGGUGAAGUUGGUUGGUUACAUUAUGUGUUCUUUCGCUUAAGUCGCUGAACCUAUUAAUGGCAUUGAGUGAGACCUUACUGUAAUGCCAUUUUUAUUUGCCAACUGGUUGGAUCUGAUUUUUUAAGUACUUUCAGUAAUUUAUAGGACUAUAUUUGGAACUUGUUUCACACUUUGAAGAUAACAUCAUUGGAUGUGAGAAAACAGUUGUUCAUAAGAUUAGUUUCAAGUUUUUCAUGUCUGUAUCUUUGUACUUUUCCAGAUGGAUAUUUGAUUCCAUGUUUCCCUAACACAGUUUCAGUUCUCACAUAAGUAGAAAAAGCUAUCAAAAAAUUUAUGUUGGGUUCCUUAAUUUUAUGAAUAUAUUAAGUUACAAGAGACUUAUUUUUUAUGGAAAAAUAGGUUAACAUAAUGGGUGGUGAUCAGUAUUGUAGUAAGUUUACUAUCAGCUGGACAUUGAAUUAUAAUUCGAAGUUUAAGAUGGAGGGAAAGAUUUUAUUUUUACGCUUUUAAAAUGUCUUAGUUUUAAGUUAAUGUAUUUUCUGAAAAGUAAGUCAUUUUAAAUGGAAGCACUGAACUGUAAGUAAGUUUUGAGGGUACAGGAGCAAAAGAAUAAGUAAGCUCUAUCUGUUAACUGCUGAAGGUGCUGUGGCCUUUGCACUAACAAACCUGGGCCUUUGUUUCACUCUUUCCUAGGCAUAUGUAGCUUUGCUAACUGCUUUUUGCUUUCUCUGGUUUGCACAGAAAUAAUGUCAGCCACUGUAAAGCUUUGGCUAUUGGUGUAAAAAAUAGAAUAAGAUUUUCAUCCUUUCGGUAUUUGGAAAUUCUUACAAAAGCCAUAUGGCUGUUCUUGGCCUAUACAUAGUAUAUAAUUUUUACUGACAUACUUAGCUUUUCAGUGAGAUUCUUAAUUGAACUGCAGUAAAUGGCUGGUCCACUUUAAAAGUUGUGAGUAUAAAGCAUAUUAAACAGACUUACCCAAAAUGUGUUGCUGAAAAUGUAAAGUCAUUGCUCCAGGGAAGUGUUUAUAUUUGAGGAUAAAACAAAAACCUAAUUGAGCAAAGGAAGACACUUUUAUAU